rnacentral:rRNA from 1 species
CCUACGGGUGGCAGCAGUGAGGAAUAUUGGUCAAUGGGCGCGAGCCUGAACCAGCCAAGUCGCGUGAGGGAAGACGGUCCUAUGGAUUUUAAACCUCUUUUGUCGGGGAGCAAAAGCCGCCACGCGAGGCGUUCCGACAGUACCCGAAGAAAAAGCAUCGGCUAACUCCGUGCCAGAAGCCGCGGUAAUACGGAGGAUGCGAGCGUUAUCCGGAUUUAUGGGGUUUAAAGGGUGCGCAGGGGGAAGAUCAAGUCAGCGGUAAAAUUGAGAGGCUCAACCUCUUCGGGCCGUUGAAACGGGUUGUGUUGAGGGAGUGAGAAGUAUGCGGAAUGCGUGGUGGAGCGGUGAAAUGCAUAGAUAUCGCGCAGAACUCCGAUUGCGAAGGCAGCAUACCGGCGCUCAACUGACGCUCAUGCACGAAAGUGUGGGUAUCGAACAGGAUUAGAUACCCCAGUAGUC